rnacentral:rRNA from 1 species
CAGUAGCCGCGGGAAUACAGAGGGUGCAAGCGUUAAUCGGGAUUACUGGGCGUAAAGCGUGCGUAGGCGGUUUCGUAAGUCGGGUGUGAAAGCCCCGGGCUCAACCUGGGAAUUGCAUUCGAGACUGCGAAGCUAGGGUGCGGAAGAGGGAAGCGGAAUUUCCGGUGUAGCGGUGAAAUGCGUAGAUAUCGGAAGGAACAUCAGUGGCGAAAGCGGCUUCCUGGUCCAGCGCCGACGCUCAGGCACGAAAGCGUGGGGAGCAAACAGGAUUAGAUACCCCCGUAGUCCCUGUCUCUUAUAC